GAGCACCUUGAAAGACCUGAGAAAGGGAGCCUCUGCCUCUCUUGCUAAAGGGAACCUCUCCGGGGCAUAGUCCCCAUCUGAGAAAUGGCCAACACGAGAGAAUGCAGGCUCUGCUGCCACGAGACAGCCUCCUGAGUGCUCCUGCCCAUUCUCACGUCCAGCCACAGGCCUCCAUCGUCUGAAAUGGCAGGACAUCGUUUCAGCUUCCCUACGCUUCCCACAGGGUGCUCCUGAGUUCACGCUCCAUCCUCUGGAGUGGUUCGCCUCUUUCAUGGUCUUAGAUGCAUAAUACUUCUCGUUGGAAUGCUUUGGCCGGAGGAAUCUCAGGGGGAGAGCAGGCCUUCCCAAUGCCGUGGACUUUGCACUACUGUCCACAACAACCUUUCUCGGCGUAACUCACAGGACCUCUGCACCCAUUCAGGAAUCAGUCCCCCUUCAUCCCUGCUGCCAGGUCUCAGCCAUCUCUACGUGCCAUCUCUGACAGUCUGCCUAGUCUCGUUACCGCCUAUAUGUUGAAUUGCACAGUGUUCUUUUUCUGUGUCUGCCUCAUUGAACUGUGGGUUUUUUUUUUUUUUUUUAAUAUUCUUUGCCUUUUAGCGCCACACCCAUGGCAUAUGGAGGUUCCCAGGCUAGGGUGUCUAAUCAGAGCUGUAGCUGCCGGCUUCCGCCAGAGCCACAGCAAGGCAGGAUCCCAGGCACAUCUGCGACCUACACCACAGAUCCCGGCAUCACCGGAUCUUUACCCCACUGAGCGAGGCCAGGGAUCCAAUCCACAAUCUCAGGCUUCCUAGUCGGAGUCACUUCUGCCAUGCCACCACGGGAACUCCUCACUCAAUGUUAAAACUGUGUUUUCUUUGGAAUCAACCAUGUGGUCACCUAUUUAAAAGUUUAAUUUUGUUUCUGGCAGAAUACUGUUCUCUUCUGGGUACACGGCACAUUGGAUCUGUCCCCUGAUCUCUUCUUGUCUUUUGGGAGUGGUUUCACCUUUUGGCUAUUGGGAAUAACCCGCUGCUACAAACGGCAGUGUACACGUCCUCUAUGGUAAUAACAUACCAGGGACUCCUAACAUUGUGCAGGUGUCCAACCUCAACUCACGUCACAGCACAAAAAAUGAAUCUGAAUGUAAACGGGGAACUUCUCACUGACUAAAAUGGUAUGACUCUUUUGCCGCUCAGGGCACCACAUGUUCCCCAUUCCGUGCUGGACGUUGUCAAUGGUGGACAUUGGAGGAAUGGCUUACGGGAGCUCUCUGUGAUAUCUGUUCACCAUGUCUUGUUCAUAUGACCUUGUUCUAAAUCGCGUCUAGUAUUGUUUUCAAGUUGGGAAAUGUGGUUCCGUGGAGGGAUCCAGCACAACUAGCCCAAAUAUCAACUAUUAGCAAAUGUCAAAACAUGAGUGAGGGCAUCUCUGCUAUUAACCAGGAACCAAAUGUUGAGUUUAAACGAACCAUUAUUUUCAUGGUUGUGAAAGUGCCCAGGGAGUGAUUCAAUUUGGGUUUUGGUUGGUUGGUUGGGUUUUGGUCAUUUUGCCUUUCUAGGCCCGCUUCCCUUGGCAUGCGCAGGCUCCCAGGAGAGGGGUCUAAUCAGAGUUGUAGCCACUGGCCUACGCCACAGCCACUGCAACUCGGGAUUCGAACCGCAUCUGUGGCCAACACCACAGCUCACGGCAACCCCGGAUCCUUAACCCACUGAGCAAGGCCAGAGAUCCAACUCGCAACCUCAUGGUUCCUAGUCGGAGUCCUUAACCACUGCGCCACGACCGGAACUCCGAGUUAGUUCAUUUGAAUUUGCA
ensembl:lncRNA